rnacentral:rRNA from 1 species
UACGUAGGCAGCGAGCGUUGUUCGGAGUUACUGGGCGUAAAGGGUGUGUAGGCGGUUUUCUAAGUUUGGUGUGAAAUCUCCCGGCUUAACCGGGAGGGUGCGCCGAAAACUGGGAGACUAGAGUGCGGGAUGGGAGAGUAGAAUUCCUGGUGUAGCGGUGAAAUGCGUAGAUAUCAGGAGGAACACCAAUAGCGAAGGCAGCUCGCUGGGACGUUACUGACACUGAGGCGCGAAAGCGUGGGGAGCGAACAGG